GUGACCCCUCCUGGCCCCCUCUGGCCCCUCCUGGCCCCCUCUGGCCCCUCCUGGCCCCCUCUGGCCCCUGAGCCGCUGCUGGGGGUGGCCGAGGCCGUUCCCUUGGCCAGGUGACCCCUCCUUGUCCCCUCCGAGCUCCCAGACCCGUCCCAGUUCCCGUCACCACCCCCAAAGCGCUUCCCGGUGCCGUCCCACGGGCCGGGCGAUCCCAGAAGAUCCCAAAAACCCCCCCGGAGCUUUCCCUGGAGCCCCAGGAUCUCCUUUUCCCGCAGAAUUCACCUCUCAUCCCUCCGAAAUCAGGGAAUCUUCUGAGGGAUUUUUUUCCCCUCGGGGGUUUUUGAGGGAUCUCCAGGAGGAUCCUCCUGCCCGGGAACGUUCUGGAAUGUCACCCGGGAUCCAAGGAAAGCCAUUCCCGGUGUUUUUCCAGAGGACGGUGGCGCGGUACCAGGAGGAAGUGGAGCGGGCGGGAUCGGCCCUGCGGAGAGCGGAGAAGGACGCGGCCGAGAAGGAGAUGGAGGUGGAGGAGCUCCAGAGGCUCCUGGCCAGCAUGGAAAAGGAGCACCGGAAUUUGCUGGCGCGGAUGGAAGCGGGAGAAGCCGAGCUGGAGCGGCUCCGGAAGGUGGAAGGGGACAAAGUGGCCCAACAGGACCGCUCAGCCCAGCUGGAAAAGGAGGUGGCUGCGCUCCGGGAGAAGAUCCAUCACCUGGACGACAUGCUCAAGAGCCAGCAGCGGAAAGUCCGGCAGAUGAUCGAGCAGCUCCAGAAUUCCAAGACGGUGAUCCAGGCCAAGGACGCGGCGAUCCAGGAGCUGAAGGAAAGGGUUUCCUACCUGGAAGCGGAGAACCUGGAGAUGCACGACCGGAUCGAGCACCUGAUCGAGCAGCAAGUGAGCCGGGGCGGGCUCAGCGCCCGGGCGCGCUCCAAGUCGGAAUACGUCAGCAGCAAACGCCUUCCGGGCCCGAAGCCGCUGCCCCUGAUCCGAGUGGUGGAAACUUGAAUCCCAGGAUCUGGGCCCAGCCGGAUCCUUCCCCUUUGGAAUGGUUUGACUGGAAUUCCCUGCUGGACUCGCAGCUCUUCCUGAGGGAAGAGGUUUGGGAUCGCCCAGGGCGGGAUCCCGGCGCAGAUUCCGGGCUGGAAUCGGGAGUUUUCCCCCUCUGCAGCGUGGCUGAGGCGAUUUUCCAGCCGGAUCUCUCAAUUCCCGCUCGUCCCGGGUGGCCAAUGUGGCUUCCAGAGAGUUUUCCCAACCGGAUUCGACACAGAUUCAGGAUUUCACCUUUUUUUGGGAGUUUUUCCAAAUCAAAAUCCGAAGAUUCCACCCUUUUCCCAAAGAAAAAUUCCUCCUUCCCGCAGCAAAGAGCUGGGAGCCGCCACCUCCGACCUCCAGCACCACCCCUGGACUUGGAAAAUCCUCACCCAGCCCCAAAGAUUCCAUGUUUUCCCUCAGAAUUCCCUGCUUUUCCCCCAAAUUAUACCUGGCACAGGCGUCGCGUCGGAAUCCCGCGAUUUUGGGUUUCAUUCCCUGUAUUUAUUUCCAUAAAUUAUCGGCGUCUCCCGGCGAGGCGGGGACGGGCACAGGCUGGAAUUCCCGGGAAUGCUGGCCCAGGACUGCCCAACCCCACGUUUGACCCGGGAGGCACCAACCGGGAUCCCUCUGGAUUCCCUUGGAAUUUUUUAUUCCCGGUUUUCAUAUAAAAAAACAAUUCCGUCUGCUUUAAUCCCUGCUGGCUGUGGUUGGUUGGAAAGAUUGGGAAUUUGGGGGUUUUUUCCAGCUUUUUUUUGGGGUCUUUUGGGGUCUUUCCAGGUCCUGAUUCCGUGGGAACGGGAUCAGGCUGUGUCCCGACACUCCGGGAUUCGGAAUUUUCCUGUUCCCAGAACCUGGGCGGGGGGGAGGUGGCCAGGAUUUGGGUGGGAUUUUGGGGGAUCUUGGAUCCACCUCUGGAUCCCCAAAAUUCCUCUCCAAAGGGUCUGGACCCCCGGGAUCCACAGAUUCCCUGGGAGUGAGGCCUGGGGACACCCGCGACCGUCGGGAAUGACCAAGAGAGAGAAAAAGACAGAAAAACGUAGAAAAAGGGAGAAAAAAAUAAGAGAAAAAGAGAGAAAAAGAAAAAGAAAGUCAGGAGU
rnacentral:lncRNA from 13 species